GGAUUAGAUACCCUGGUAGUCCACGCCGUAAACGAUGUCGACUAGUUGUUGGAGAUCUUAGUAUCUUUGGUGACGAAGCUAACGCGAUAAGUCGACCGCCUGGGGAGUACGGCCGCAAGGUUAAAACUCAAAUGAAUUGACGGGGGCCCGCACAAGCGGUGGAGCAUGUGGUUUAAUUCGAAGCAACGCGAAGAACCUUACCUGGUCUUGACAUCCUGCGAACUUACUAGAGAUAGUUUGGUGCCUUCGGGAGCGCAGUGACAGGUGCUGCAUGGCUGUCGUCAGCUCGUGCUG
rnacentral:rRNA from 1 species